UUAUUAUUACUCUUGAGGGAGGUGGCUGGUUUGUGAUGGCUGAACUAGCACCACAAGCAAUGAUGAAUUGGGUUGAUUGUUGAAUACUGUUGGUCAGAUGGAGAUACAUCAAGGCACUAUUACUGAGCCCAGUCCACUGGUUGUGUAUUCGAUUAGCAUUACAUCUAAACCAAAUGAGGCCAGUGUGGAUAUCGCUAACUCCAAUAUGGGUGGUCCGUUGAUCGUGACCAGGCCAAAUAUCUCACGAAAUAAGCGUAAAACGAAAAAACUACAAAGAACGAAAUUUGUCUACCUUGAAGGGGG